rnacentral:rRNA from 1 species
GAUGAACGCUGGCGGCGUGCUUAACACAUGCAAGUCGAACGAAGCACCUUGAUUUGAUUCUUCGGAUGAAGAUCUUGGUGACUGAGUGGCGGACGGGUGAGUAACGCGUGGGUAACCUGCCUCAUACAGGGGGAUAACAGUUAGAAAUGACUGCUAAAUACCGCAUAAGACCACAGCACCGCAUGGUGCAGGGGCAAAAAACUCCGGUGGUAUGAGAUGGACCCGCGUCUGAUUAGGUAGUUGGUGGGGUAACGGCCUACCAAGCCGACGAUCAGUAGCCGACCUGAGAGGGUGACCGGCCACAUUGGGACUGAGACACGGCCCAA